AAGCCGCCGGAAAUAAUGGUCCGGCACGGGCAACUGUUGUCUCUUAUAGCCCUUGGGCCAUCGGCGUCGCAGCUUCCGGCACCGACAGAGUUUAUUCAACCUCACUUCUUCUUGGCAAUGGCCAAAAAGUUGGAGGAGUAGGAAUGUCUGGUAUGCCACCAUAUAACAAUAUCCAAUUACUAUCAUUAUGGAGCAAAAAAUUAUAACUAAUUACUAUCAUCUUCCUCAGGACCCAGUUUAGGGAGUGAGUUUUUCCUACAUAAGUUGGUAUUGGCUAAGGAUGCAACGAAGCAAAAUGAAACAAAUUAUAACGACAUACCAAGUUACAUUGAAGAAUGCCAACAUCCUGAAGCUUUUGACCCAAAUAUUGUCCAAAACAGCAUAGUCCUUUGCUCUUUCUCACAAGGAUUCCUGAAUGGAACCUCCUCUCUUGCAGCCAUCAUUCACACUGCAAAACAACUCAAGUUCAUGGGUUUUGUUCUCAUUGCAAAUCCAAACUAUGGUGAUUUCAUUGCAGAGCCUAUCCCUUUCAGAGUUCCAGGCAUUCUCGUCCCCAGCGUAUCAGAUACUCAGGUAUAACUUUACAACAUAUAAACAAAUAAAAAUGGCCAUCUAAAUCAAAAUCUUCAUUUUCCCCCCCCCCCCCCCCCCCUAAUUUUAGUUAGAUUUCAAACAUGUUUUCAAAAAGCUAAGUGGCCAACAACAAAAAAAAAAAAAACAUAAAUGCAUGCCCCAUAAAAUCAAGUUUAUAUUCUUCAAGUUUAUUUAUUUUGUUUUCGACUUCUUUCCAGUUUUUUCAUAAACGAAAACUAAAGAAAAAUUCGUUUGUUAACACUUGUUUUUCUUAUUAGAAUGUGAUUAAAAUUCAAAGGUGAAAACCUUAGAAGCACAAGCACUUCACUUCUACUAGCGUGAGUCAAUCCAUCCAUCUCUGGCUUCUGCCAUACACAAUUAUUGGACAUUUCAAUUCACUUGUUGAAUACAUAUCAAACACAUGUCACAUUAGUGCGACAUAUUAUUAGACAUGCAUAAACAUUAAUGUAGACCAGAAAGGCACGUAUAUCUAAAAUACAUCAAAAUAAGUUUCUGAAGCAUAACUAGAUUUUUAAAAUACGACAUGUUGUGUUAGAUCAUAAUUGUGUCUUGUAUCCGUAUCUGUGCUUCUAAGGUGAAAAUUAAGUCACAAUUUUAUGAAAAACAACCAAAAAAAAAUUAAAAACAAAGUCAUCAUGAAAGAUACCAAAAAUUUUUAAUGAACAGGAGUUGACAAUCUUGGAUUGCAAGCUGAAAAUAUAGGUAAUACUGAAGUACUAUGAAGAAAAUACAUGCAAGGAUGAAAGAGGAAUGGUUAGAGAAUUUAAAGGGAAAGCAGGGAUUGGAGAAGGAAGAAUUGCUUCAUUUGGGAACCAAGCACCCACAGUUAGCAGAUUUUCAUCAAGAGGACCAGAUUACAUAAACAUAAAUAGGAGUUUAGCUGAUGUUCUAAAGCCAGAUAUUCUUGCACCUGGUCACCAAAUUUGGGCUGCUUGGAGCCCUCUCAGUGCCUCAGAACCACUAUUAAAGGGUCAGCUUUUCAUGAACUUAUUGUUCUUUCAGUUUCAUCAAUUUUUCCCUUUUACAUUUGUCAUUCAAUCUAUAUGAAUUUUAAGCAAUUCUUGUUUUGGUCUCUUUAGGUUUUAAAACCCCAGUGCUAAAAAAAAUAUAUUUGUUUUUAGUUUUCUCUGUAUGAAAUUUAUAUGUACUGUUUUUCUCUUAAAUUUUAUAUUAUGGUUCUUACAUUUAUAAAACAAACAAUUGGGUUCUCAGUAAACUUUUACAAUUACAUGACCCUACUUUUUCUUAAUUUCUUGUGAUGUUUAGCAUCUCUCUCAAGUAAUAUCAAGUUGAACUUCCUAGCCAAAUUCUAUAAACAAGAAAAAAUUCUUAAAAAGCUAAUCUUUCUAGUUUUCAGAACUUUAAUUUGAAACCUGGUUUUUGAAAACAACAUAUAGAUAACAAAAAUACAAAAAGCUUAGAGGUGGAAGAAGUGUCUACCUGCAUGCUUUUAAUUCCUAAAAGUUAAAAAUUGAAAACAAAGUUGUCAAAUAAUUUUUUUUUUCUAGUUUUUUAAAUUUUGUUUUGACUUUUACAAAUAUCAAUGAAAAGUGAAUAACAAAACAUAAACAAAGAAACAUAGUGAAACUAGAGUUUAUUAGUUUAAUUUUUUUAAAAAAAAAAUUAGUAAAGAUGAUCUAGAUAAAUUUCACCUUUAUAAGUCCCAAUCAACUCAAGAAAUUAGAAAGUCAUAUUUAUGUCAUAUCAAAAGGGCACAAGAGAAGUUGAUUGAAACAUGAGUGUUGAAUUAUAUAUAUACAGGAUACCAUUUUGCACUGAUGUCUGGAACAAGUAUGGCAGCACCUCAUAUUGUGGGAAUAGCAGCACUUAUCAAGCAAAAAUAUCCUUCUUGGACUCCUUCCAUGAUAGCUUCUGCUAUGUCCACAACUGCUACAAAGUAUGAUAUGAAUGGAGACCUUAUUCAGGCUGAGGGAUUCAACCUUCAUGCUUUAUAUCCUUCUACUCCCUUCGAUUUCGGCGCUGGGCUCGUUUCUCCGUCCAACGCUUUGGACCCCGGACUCGUCUUCCCAACAGGUAAAUUCUAAUGAUACAUAACUCUCUACCUUUUCAUUAUUUGGACAACUGUGUGUUUGUUGAAUAUCUCAAAGCUACUUAAUAACGCUUUGAAUAGUAAAAAAGAACUCACCAAUUAAUGUUCUCUUGAAGUCUAACCGUGCUUGUGUUAGGAAUACCACUUAACAUGAAAGCUUAGAGGAAUACAAAGAAACAUCAAGAUAGUAAUAUAUUACAAUAUUAAAGAAAAAACUAAACUAAUAUGUCUGAUAUCUAAGAAUUGUAAUUUAACAACUCUAAACUAGAAAUACAAAUAUUGCAAAUUUCCUUUGCCAACAGAUUCAGUCUAAGCCUAUUCAAACAUCAAGAGAACUAACCAUAUCUUCUUGAAACAGAAUAUGAAGACAAUAUAAACUUCUUGUGCUCUUUACCUGGGGUUGAUCCUGCCGUCGUCAAAAGCGCCACCGGAGGACAAUGUAAUGCCUCUAUCUCACACUCACACCCUGCAGAUCUGAACCUUCCUUCAAUCACAAUAUCAUCACUGGUUGGGCAUCAGGUGGUGCAGAGAAGAGU
rnacentral:lncRNA from 1 species